AGUGAACGCUGGCGGUAGGCCUAACACAUGCAAGUCGAACGGCAGCACAGUAAGAGCUUGCUCUUACGGGUGGCGAGUGGCGGACGGGUGAGGAAUACAUCGGAAUCUACUUUUUCGUGGGGGAUAACGUAGGGAAACUUACGCUAAUACCGCAUACGACCUACGGGUGAAAGCAGGGGAUCUUCGGACCUUGCGCGAUUGAAUGAGCCGAUGUCGGAUUAGCUAGUUGGCGGGGUAAAGGCCCACCAAGGCGACGAUCCGUAGCUGGUCUGAGAGGAUGAUCAGCCACACUGGAACUGAGGCACGGUCCAGACUCCUACGGGAGGCAGCAGUGGGGAAUAUUGGACAAUGGGCGCAAGCCUGAUCCAGCCAUACCGCGUGGGUGAAGAAGGCCUCCGGGUUGUAAAGCCCUUUUGUUGGGAAAGAAAAGCAGCAGGUUAAUACCCCGCUGUUCUGACGGUACCCAAAGAAUAAGCACCGGCUAACUUCGUG
rnacentral:rRNA from 1 species